rnacentral:rRNA from 1 species
UACGUAGGGUGCGAGCGUUAAUCGGAAUUACUGGGCGUAAAGCGUGCGCAGGCGGCGCGUUAAGACAGGUGUGAAAGCCCCGAGCUUAACUUGGGAAUUGCGCUUGUGACUGGCGUGCUGGAGUGUGGCAGAGGGAGGUGGAAUUCCACGUGUAGCAGUGAAAAUGCGUAGAGAUGUGGAGGAACACCGAUGGCGAAGGCAGCCUCCUGGGCCAGCACUGACGCUCAUGCACGAAAGCGUGGGGAGCAAACAGG